rnacentral:rRNA from 1 species
CGUAGGGUGCGAGCGUUAAUCGGAAUUACUGGGCGUAAAGCGUGCGCAGGCGGUUUUGUAAGACAGAUGUGAAAUCCCCGGGCUCAACCUGGGACCUGCAUUUGUGACUGCAAGGCUAGAGUACGGUAGAGGGGGAUGGAAUUCCGCGUGUAGCAGUGAAAUGCGUAGAUAUGCGGAGGAACACCGAUGGCGAAGGCAGUCCCCUGGACCUGUACUGACGCUCAUGCACGAAAGCGUGGGGAGCAAACAGGAUUAGAUACCCUGGUAGUCCACGCCCUAAACGAUAUCAACUGGUUGUUGGGUCUUUACUGACUCAGUAACGAAGCUAACGCGUGAAGUUGACCGCCUGGGGAGUACGGCCGCAAGGUUG